UACGUAGGGGGCAAGCGUUGUCCGGAAUUAUUGGGCGUAAAGAGCGCGUAGGCGGUCCGGUAAGUCGGUUGUGAAAGUCGGGGGCUCAACCCUCGGAUGCCGAUCGAUACUGUCGGGCUAGAGUCCGGAAGAGGCGAGUGGAAUUCCCGGUGUAGCGGUGAAAUGCGCAGAUAUCAGGAGGAACACCGGUGGCGAAGGCGGAUCUCUGGGCCAUUACUGACGCUGAGGAGCGAAAGCGUGGGGAGCGAACAGG
rnacentral:rRNA from 1 species